AUCGAACGCUGGCGGCAGGCCUAACACAUGCAAGUCGAGCGAGCGGCGGACGGGCGAGUAAUGUCUGGGAAACUGCCUGAUGGAGGGGGAUAACUACUGGAAACGGUAGCUAAUCCCGCAUACCAUCAGAUGUGCCCCGAUGGGAUUAGCUAGUAGGUGGGGUAAUGGCUCACCUAGGCGACGAUCCCUAGCGGGUCUGCGAGGAUGACCAGCCACACUGGAACUGAGACACGGUCCAGACUCCUACGGGAGGCAGCAGUGGGGAAUAUUGCGCAAUGGGCGCAAGCCUGAUGGAGCCAUGCCGCGUGUGUGAAGAAGGCCUUCGGGUUGUAAAGCACUUUCAGCGAGGAAGCGUUACUCGCAGAGGAAGCACCGGCUAACUCCGUGCCAGCAGCCGCGGUAAUUC
rnacentral:rRNA from 1 species